rnacentral:rRNA from 1 species
CCUACGGGAGACAGCAGUGAGGAAUAUUGGUCAAUGGGCUUACGCCUGAACCAGCCAAGUCGCGUGAGGGAAGACUGCCCUAUGGGUUGUAAACCUCUUUUGUCAGGGAGCAAUUGGCGCUACGUGUAGCGUUAUCGAGAGUACCUGAAGAAAAAGCAUCGGCUAACUCCGUGCCAGCAGCCGCGGUAAUACGGGGGAUGCGAGCGUUAUCCGGCUUUAUUGGGUUUAAAGGGUGCGUAGGCGGAAUGCCAAGUCAGCGGUAAAAUCGCGGGGCUCAACCUCGCUCCGCCGUUGAAACUGGCGGUCUUGAGUGGGCGAGAAGUAUGCGGAAUGCGUGGUGUAGCGGUGAAAUGCAUAGAUAUCACGCAGAACUCCGAUUGCGAAGGCAGCAUACCGGAGCCCAACUGACGCUGAAGCACGAAAGCGUGGGUAUCGAACAGGAUUAGAUACCCUGGUAGUC